UUCACACAACCAUGCAUACAGUCUUUCUCCUCACUGACCUGUGCCUGUUACCGAACCUUGAACAUUUUACUUUACCACAAGGUCACCUUAGGAUUCCUUUAGUACUUAUUGCUUGUGGCUGAGGACAGAGAGUUCUGCUCAGACGCAGGUCAGGGGAGCACACAGACCGUGUCCGGAGAAAAUGGUAAGUUAAUAAUGGCUAGUAAUUCCUGUAGUAGAUUGUACUGGUAAUCAAGCUACUCUCCUUCCCUGCUUUGCUCUCGCGUUCCCCGAACAAGCAGGUCUCCUUGCCUGCGGUUUGCUGGGUGGUUCGGGGAACGCGAGAGCAAACCGCGGCGAAGCUGGUCUCCUUCCCUGCUUUGCUCUCGCGUUCCCCGAACAAGCAGGUCUCCUUGCCUGCGGUUUGCUGGGUGGUUCGGGGAACGCGAGAGCAAACCGCGGCGAAGCUGGUCUCCUUCCCUGCUUUGCUCUCGCGUUCCCCGAACAAGCAGGUCUCCUUGCCUGCGGUUUGCUGGGUGGUUCGGGGAACGGGAGAGCAAACCGCGGCGAAGCUACUCUCCUUCCCCGGUUUGCUCUCGCGUUCCCCCAACAAGCAGGAUGAAUCCGCCCUGUUACAAUGGAGACUUUUCUAAAAACCACCUAAUGGGUCACUGUUUUAGGAAAGGU